rnacentral:rRNA from 1 species
GUUGGGUAGGGGAGCGUUCUGUAAGCCUGUGAAGGUGUGUCGUGAGGCAUGCUGGAGGUAUCAGAAGUGCGAAUGCUGACAUAAGUAACGAUAAAGCGGGUGAAAAGCCCGCUCGCCGGAAGACCAAGGGUUCCUGUCCAACGUUAAUCGGGGCAGGGUGAGUCGACCCCUAAGGCGAGGCCGAAAGGCGUAGUCGAUGGGAAACGGGUUAAUAUUCCCGUACUUGGUGUUACUGCGAAGGGGGGACGGAGAAGGCUAUGUUGGCCGGGCGACGGUUGUCCCGGUUUAAGCGUGUAGGUGUGUGUUCCAGGUAAAUCCGGUUCACUUUAACACUGAGGCGUGAUGACGAGGCACUACGGUGCUGAAGCAACAAAUGCCCUGCUUCCAGGAAAAGCCUCUAAGCAUCAGGUAACAUCAAAUCGUACCCCAAACCGACACAGGUGGUCAGGUAGAGAAUACCAAGGCGCUUGAGAGAACUCGGGUGAAGGAACUAGGCAAAAUGGUGCCGUAACUUCGGGAGAAGGCACGCUGACAUGUAGGUGAAGUGAUUUACUCAUGGAGCUGAAGUCAGUCGAAGAUACCAGCUGGCUGCAACUGUUUAUUAAAAACACAGCACUGUGCAAACACGAAAGUGGACGUAUACGGUGUGACGCCUGCCCGGUGCCGGAAGGUUAAUUGAUGGGGUCAGCGCAAGCGAAGCUCCUGAUCGAAGCCCCGGUAAACGGCGGCCGUAACUAUAACGGUCCUAAGGUAGCGAAAUUCCUUGUCGGGUAAGUUCCGACCUGCACGAAUGGCGUAAUGAUGGCCAGGCUGUCUCCACCCGAGACUCAGUGAAAUUGAACUCGCUGUGAAGAUGCAGUGUACCCGCGGCAAGACGGAAAGACCCCGUGAACCUUUACUAUAGCUUGACACUGAACAUUGAGCCUUGAUGUGUAGGAUAGGUGGGAGGCUUUGAAG